rnacentral:rRNA from 1 species
AGCUCCAAUAGCGUAUAUUAAAGUUGUUGCGGUUAAAAAGCUCGUAGUUGGAUCUCGACUCAUGUUAGGUGGUCCACCUCACGGUGGCUACUGCUUGACUGAGUUACCUACGGAUUUGUCUCUUGAUUCUCUUAACCGAGUGUCUUGAGCGAUCCGUUCGUUUACUUUGAACAAAUUAGAGUGCUUAAAGCAGGCAUUCGCCCGAAUAAUCUUGCAUGGAAUAAUGGAAUAGGACUUCGGUUCUAUUCUGUUGGUCUCCGGAUCCGAAGUAAUGAUUAAGAGGGACAGACGGGGGCAUUAGUAUUACGGCGCUAGAGGUGAAAUUCUUGGACCGUCGUAAGACUAACAACAGCGAAAGCAUUUGCCAAGAAUGUUUUCA